rnacentral:rRNA from 1 species
AGUGGCGUACGGGUGAGUAAACGGGGAUCAUCUACCUCUUAGUGGGGAAUAACCCUGGGAAACCGGGGCUAAUACCGCAUAAGCCUGAAAAGGGAAAGCAGUAAUGCGCUGAGAGAGGAGUCCGCGGCCGAUUAGCUAGUUGGUAGGGUAAUGGCCUACCAAGGCAAUGAUCGGUAGCCGGCCUGAGAGGGCACACGGCCACACUGGCACUGAAACACGGGCCAGACUCCUACGGGAGGCAGCAGUGGGGAAUCUUGCACAAUGGAGGAAACUCUGAUGCAGCGACGCCGCGUGAGCGAUGAAGCCCUUCGGGGUGUAAAGCUCUUUCGACGGGAACGAUAAUGACGGUACCCGGAGAAGAAGCUGCGGCUAACUACGUGCCAGCAGCCGCGGUAAUACGUAGGCAGCAAGCGUUGUUCGGAAUUACUGGGCGUAAAGAGUGUGUAGGCGGUUCUCUAUGUUCGGCGUGAAAUCUCCCGGCUUAACUGGGAGGGUGCGCCGAA